rnacentral:ncRNA from 1 species
GGCUUUGUGGAGAACAAAUUGUCUCAGCACUUUGCCACCUCAAUGUCGGCUCAGCACAUGAUCCUACAGGUGAAGAAGCUUGUAAGGGUUAGACUUUUUGUCUAGUAAAGUGCUAUGUGAGCUGGGUUCAGUACAACGUGAGUCAGUAC